rnacentral:tRNA from 1 species
UGAGGCUGUGGCUCAGUGGUAGAGCCCUUGCCUCACAUGUGUGAGGCACUGAGUUCAAUUCUCAGCACCACAA